ensembl:lncRNA
AGUCAUCAGCCUUACUCUCUCUUCCAGGGUCAUCAAAGUCCAGUGGAAAGACAAAAGUCAAGAUGACUGGCCAUGGCCCCAGAUGUAAUAUAUUACCUUGGCAUCUUUGAUUUCUGACUAAGCUCAAAGUGAUUCCCCAGAGCCUGCUUCAGCCACCUUCAUGGUCAUUAGAAGAAAUUAUUCUCAAGACCUAGUAGACAGAGUGCAGAACCAGGCAUAAGUCAAAAGACUUGGAUUCUGAUCUCAGCAAUGAUGCAAAUACUGUGACCUUUGGCAGUGACUGAACUAGUGUCAACACACCAGGAAACAAAUGUGGGAAAAGAAAAAUUAGUGAAAAAGAAAUCUGUGAAGUAGUUUCUUCAUAACAAAACUCCAUCCACCCACCAAAUAGUUUAUAGGAAUGUUUAUUCCAAACUAGCACAUUUUUUUUUCAUUUUGGCCCAGAUGUUUUCCUUUCCAUUUCUUAUUUAACAUACAAAUGGCAAAUGGUUUUCUGUUCUGUUUCUUUUAUGCCAUAUAGUUAAAGAAAUGGGGAAGGGAGGAAGAAUGUUUUGAGCCAAACCAUAAUUAGAAAUACUUGCUUCAUGUAGAUAUGACUUCAUCAACAGGGAUCAAAGCAUGGGCCUUGGAAGGAGGAGAAAGAAGAGGAGGUAGACCAGUCAUGAACUCCAGAACUCCUCUGAGAAUGCCUCUGUGGCAUUGCCAGCAGCCGAUGUAGAUGUAGUAUCUUUGAGGCAAGUCAACAGCAGCCAAGCACUGAGGAAGAUAAGUGAAUUUCUCAGUGCCGAUCUGUCUAUCUGGUGUCCCGUCCUUCACAGAUCUAGUCAAGACUAUUGCUAUGUUGGAAUGUUGAGAGAUGUCACAUCAAUUCAAAGAAAGGUCUUUCCUUGUUGAAACUCUUGCCUAAUGAUAUCUUUAUUCAUGUGAAAAUACAGGAUGAUUUUCAACUAUAUGAUUAUGUUUAUGUUCAUCAGAAAUGUUAUUUGUCUCUACAGAGUUUGGUUUCAAUGAGCCAGCUAUGUAAUAGAUAUUAAAUAAGCAUGGAAUUUUAUACAUUCAGAAUAUUUGGUUUCUUGUUGUGAUUUUGAUGAACUACAUAUUCAAGCAUUGUUGGUUCAUCCUUAUUUACAAACUAAACAUUUGCUUGUAGCUAAGUAAUAUAGUGACUAGCUUAUUUUAAGAUAAGUCAACUUUUGUUUUCAAUGUUUAAUGUGAAACUGACAAAAAAUUGUUCUUUGAGGUCGCAUACAUAUUUCUCUUUCAAUCGCAUGCAUUCUGCUAUUUUUAACUUACUGCUGUGAGUUAUAUAAACUAAUAGAUGUUUUAUUUCUGUUUUAAUGUGUUUUUUCUAAGAUAAAUAAUUUAUAAUAUUCUAAGGAGACUAAGCAGCUCAUAUUAAAAGAACUAUAUUAUAAGAUGUGCUGAAAUCUAUGGAAAGUGACUCUCUUAAAAGUAAUUUUGAGAAAAUUAUUUUGGGCAAGGUUGAUUUUCUAAUAUGCAAUUUGGCAACAGUGAAUUUAUAGAAAAUCUCACAUUCCCUCCUAAUACACAUAAAAAAGAAAGAAUUGAAGUCAUAAUACAUUUUUCUUUUAUGACCUGUUUCCUAUAAUUAAGUCUUAAUUCUAGUAUCUUUCUUCUGUUUUAUUUUAUCCUGUAUAUAGCUUGUUUGUCAUUAUUUGCAUAUUGUCUCCUCCAUUAGACUGUGAGUUCCUUGAGAG